UACGUAGGGGGCAAGCGUUGUCCGGAUUUAUUGGGCGUAAAGAGCGUGUAGGCGGCCAUGUAGGUCCGUUGUGAAAACUCGAGGCUCAACCUCGAGACGCCGAUGGAAACCAUGUGGCUAGAGUCCGGAAGAGGAGAGUGGAAUUCCUGGUGUAGCGGUGAAAUGCGCAGAUAUCUGGAGGGACACCGGUGGCGAAGGCGGCAUCCUGGACCGACACUGACACUGAGGAGCGAAAGCCAGGGGAGCAAACGGG
rnacentral:rRNA from 1 species